rnacentral:rRNA from 1 species
AUUGAACGCUGGCGGCAUGCCUUACACAUGCAAGUCGAACGGCAGCACGGGAGUAAUCCUGGUGGCGAGUGGCGAACGGGUGAGUAAAGCAUCGGAACGUGCCCAGUCGUGGGGGAUAACGUAGCGAAAGCUACGCUAAUACCGCAUACGAUCUGUGGAUGAAAGCGGGGGACCGUAAGGCCUCGCGCGAUUGGAGCGGCCGAUGUCAGAUUAGGUAGUUGGUGAGGUAAAGGCUCACCAAGCCGACGAUCUGUAGCUGGUCUGAGAGGACGACCAGCCACACUGGAACUGAGACACGGCCCAGACUCCUACGGGAGGCAGCAGUGGGGAAUUUUGGACAAUGGGCGCAAGCCUGAUCCAGCAAUGCCGCGUGCAGGAUGAAGGCCUUCGGGUUGUAAACUGCUUUUGUACGGAGCGAAAAGGCUUCCACUAAUACUGGGGGCUCAUGACGGUACCGUAAGAAUAAGCACCGGCUAACUACGUG